CCUACGGGAGGCAGCAGUGGGGGAUAUUGCACAAUGGGGGCAACCCUGAUGCAGCGACGCCGCGUGAGCGAUGGAGUACUUCGGUGUGGAAAGCUCUGUCAGCAGGGGAGAGAAUGACGGUACCUGACCAAGAAGCCCCGGCUAAAUACGUUCCAGCAGCGGCGGUAAUACGUAUGGGGCCAGCGUUAUCCGGAUUUACUGGGUGUUAAGGGGGCGUAGGCGGCAGGGCAAGCCUGAUGUGAAAGCCCGGGGCUCAACCCCGGGACUGCAUUGGGAACUGCCCCGCUCGAGUGCCGGAGGGGCAGGCGGAAUUCCGAGGGGAGCGGUGAAAUGCGUAGAUAUUAGGAGGAACACCAGUGGCGAAGGCGGCCUGCUGGACGGUGUACUGACGCUGAGGCUCGAAAGCGUGGGGAGCAAACAGGAUUAGAUACCCGAGUAGUC
rnacentral:rRNA from 1 species